CUGAACUAGUAUACACACAUGUUUAGGGGCCAGCUGAAGGACGCCUCCAGGUGCGGUAGUUUCUCGCUACAUUGAAGACCUGUUGGUGGCCUUCGGUUGUUGUCUGCUCUAUGGUAGGGUUGUUGGCGCUUUGACACAUUCCCCAUUUCCAUUCUCAAUUUUGUUAAGCAGUACUAGUACUUAAAGUAUAAUACUGCACUGUCACUAUAUUUAAAUCUAGUCAUAAAAAAAACACCAAAGUCUUAACACAAGACAAGACAAGAACAGACAGACAGACAGAAAAUCACCGAAGUCUUAACACAAGACAAGACAAGAACAGACAGACAGGUCCGGUAUUAAUGAUUAUGAGAAUUACGAUUUUUUCUUUAUCCUAUACGUAUCGGUCUGUUAAUGUUGUUCCUAAAACCUAAAAGUCUUAAAUUACAAUCAUGUUUUUGAUUUGAGACCAGAAUAUUGUCGAAAAAAAUCGCUAAAUUGUUAAUUGCGUUUCAAUGUAAGAAAGAGUCCAGGAAACGCUCAGAAUGCACGAUUUUGCGUUAUUUUUCUCAGAGCUUCUUGGGGCCUAGGCGGCCCCAGACCGCUCGGCAAAAAUGUUU
rnacentral:lncRNA from 1 species